UUCUAGUAGCCAUAAUUUUCUCCUGUGAAAAUAAGUGUUCUAUUAUACGCUCCUUUAGGUUCGGUAACCAUUAUCCAAUAAGAAACUUUUUAGACAGGAAACUCUAAGACCCCAAUUUUGACCCUAAGAUCCCUCAUGGCAUCAUAACAUUGCAUUUGCAUAGCCUCAAGGAUCAUGAGCAUCUUGGUUCCCUUUGCCUUU
rnacentral:lncRNA from 1 species